CUGCAUAAGCUAGAGAUAGCUUUUUCUUCGGACUGCCUGCAAGGUGCUGCAUGGUUGUCGUCAGCUCGUGCCGUGAGGUGUCAGGUUAAGUCCUAUAACGAGCGCAACCCCUACCGUUAGUUGCCAGCAUGUCAAGAUGGGGACUCUAACGGGACUGCCGGUGCAAACCGCGAGGAAGGUGGGGACGACGUCAAAUCAUCACGGCCCUUACGUCCUGGGCUACACACGUGCUACAAUGGCCGGUACAGAGGGAAGCCACCCCGCGAGGGGGCGCGGAUCUACAAAACCGGUCACAGUUCGGAUCGGGGUCUGCAACUCGACCCCGUGAAGCUGGAAUCGCUAGUAAUCGGAUAUCAGCCAUGAUCCGGUGAAUACGUUCCCGGGCCUUGUACACACCGCCCGUCAAGCCAUGGAAGCCGGGAGUGCCUGAAGUCCGUCACCGCAA
rnacentral:rRNA from 1 species